rnacentral:lncRNA from 1 species
UUCCAAACAAAAAGUAAAGAGUUCUCCCGGGGGGCGUCGGGUGGACCCGCUCAGAGCCAAGUACCCCCAGAGGCGGAAAGGAGGAGGCUGAAGACUGCGUGCGCCCCGGCUCUCGCCAGGCUCAGGUGGUGGCGCGCACUGGCUGGUGCGGAGAGGGGGUGGGGAGCGAAGACGCUCGAACGUGGAAAUCACGCCUCCUCUCAAGUAAGAGCCAUUUAAAUUAUCCCCAACACUGCAGCUGCUGCGGGACCACGGGGUCCGAGUGUGCGUCUGGGGCACGUCCACCCAGAAGGCGUCCGUGGAGAACCUUUCUUCUUGCCCUUAUCUAGGGUCGCUCCAGAGUGUAUUGGGGUUGGGCAGUUCUGCUGCGCGCCCCUCAACCCGCGCCCCCCGGUCCCCCAGUAACAAAAGUGCGGGUACUGCUGGUCAGUCGGUGGAGCUCCCGGACUCCCGGCUCUCCGCCCUGCCUCCUCCUCCUCCUCCCUGUGUCGUCACUGGCGGGUCUGGGGGACCUGGUGCGGCGGGGCUGGAGCGGGCGCCCCUGCGGGAGGGCGUAGAGUGUUUGUGAACCGGGAAUCCGUAGCGUUACUCCCCUUCUCUCCAACACCCCGCCCUCUCGUUCUCAAAGACGCAAGUGUGGGAGUGGGGGACACCUUAUCUCAGACCUGGAGAGAUCCUGGUCUCCGAGCAUGCCGAGCCGCAGGGGGCGCGGGGGAGCCCGGGGGGCGCCGACGUCUCGGCAAAGUUGGGCGUGUGCGUGUGCGCGCCAGCCCUGAGCUAGCAGGCAGCCACUGUGGUUUCCCCUCGCACUCCCCCUCCAGAGAAUUUCCCGAGAAGGCGGGCGCCGGCUUCGGGCCCGGGAUAGACCUGCGGCGGCGGCGGGAACGGCCACGCACAGGCCAUGGGCUUCACAACACAGGCUGGAAACCUGGAAACUUGAUCCUGCUGGACAAGAGAGUGGGGCAUAUUGGAAACGAUAAGAGAAACAAAGGAUUUGAAAAAGGAAACUGUAGAAAUGUGGUAAGUAUAAUUUUAGAAAAACAGUGCAAGUUAAAUUUUUGAUGGAGAUAAUUGAUGCUUUUGCUCUUCUGGUAGAAUACAUCCAUAUUUUACGAAUAAAAUUGUAAUGCAUGCUAACUCUACUGCAUGUAAUUAGUGAGUGGGGCCGUGGUAGUCCAGGAAACAUUACAAAGUUGGGACAUUACAAUUUUGCAAAUGCCACACACGGAGAACAGAAAGAAAUGGAUAAUGAAGAGUAUCGCCAAGUAUUAUAACUUGAUAAUGGGCAUGAAAGCUACUUGUCAAUUAUCAUGUGCGCUACAGAUGCUAAUAUUAUUACUGUUCAUGACUAUUAUUCUUACUAAAUAUAUGGAGAGGCAGGAAGUCUGUAGGAAAAACCGAAAUUGCAUAGAAUUUCCUGAUUCUCAGGAAGAUCUAAUGGCCUGAGUAUAAAGUGUUAGUUGGCAAUAUUUGAAGGGUGGUCAUAUAGAAGAGUGGUUCAGUUUGAUCCUAUGAAUCCCAAGGAGUUCAGGAUAAAGACUUUGGACAGUUUUCCUUGAUUAAAAACAAUCACUUGGGACGCCUGUGGGGCUCAGUUGGUGAAGUGUCUGAUUCUUGAUUUCUGCUCAGGCCCCUGCCAUGCUUUCAGGGUCAUGGGAUCAAACCCUAGGUUGGGCUCUGCACUGGGCAUUGAGACUGCUUGGGAUUCUCUCUCUCUCUCCUUCUCCCUUUGCCCCUCUUCCUCCCCCUAAAAAAAUCACUUUAGAAAAAUAAAUGAAAUGAUAACUAAGUAGCAUCCUACCUUCAUGAGAAAAUUUUCCUUAAAUUUCAGAAUAAGUCCAGGCAUUUUACUUCACUUUUGAUGUCCCUCUGUGAGAGCCUGGGGAAGGCUUUGGGACCAGACUGAGUUGUUUUCCUUUUUGGAAAAAUUUUGUUCUCUCCAUGUUGAGCAUUUUCUCCAAGUCAGCCUUUUAAAAUAUUUCUUUCAUGUAUUAGUCAGACACAUUUCCAGCACCUGAAAAGCAAAUACACUAUGUUUAUGUCAUCUGAGAAGCCGCAAAGCUUUCUGCUCAUCACCCACUGAUGUUAAAACUACAUUAUUCAUAACAACCCCAGUAGCUGAGAUUGCAAAAAGCUGAAUUGUUUUCUCUUUGAAAAUUUAACAUUAUUAUUAUUGCAGGGUCUUUAUUUUAUUCCUCUGUGUAAAUCAGGGUAGGAUAAGUGUCAUAACAAACGAUUCAAAAAAUCUCAGUGGUUUAGUACAAUGAGAGUUUAUUUUUCACUGAUGUCACAUUCCAGCUCAGGUAGAGAGUGUUGGUGACUCUGUUCCACUCAAUCAUUCAGGGACCCAGUGCCCUUCUGUCAUGUGGUGUAGAUCACUUCUACCCAGAUUUUGUUGGCUGGAAUUCAGUGACGUAGCCCCUCCUGUCCGUCUAGCUCUUUGCCCAGGAGGAAGAGAAAUGAUGUAUUAUGAAUGCAUAGAAGUCUCUACAGCACCUCAAAAAAUUGUAAUAAUAGGCAAUAAAAGUCUAAAAUCUAGAUUAUUUCUAAAAAUAGAAAGUCAACAUUAAAAUCAGAAGAAUGGUUACAUGAUAAGAAUUUUGGCUUUGAGAUAUCUCCAGUGUAUACCUGUGUAUCUCAAGCUGAUUUUAGGGAGACUCUCUCAGUUGCUGGGCUGUUGGAAACUUGACUCUAAUCAGAUAUCAUUAAAGGACCAGCUGUGGGGCAGUGAUUUCUGACCUGGGUCUCUGACCCCUGAAAAUUCUCAAAAUGGAUCCAUGCCAUCCAUAUGCAAAAACUAAUUUCCUUUUUUUUUUAAGAAAAUAUUUUAUUUAUUUAUUUGAGAGAGAGAGGAUGAGCCAGGGGGAGGGGCAAAGAGAGAGGGAAAAGCAGUCUCCCCACUGACCAGGGAGCCUGAUGUGGGGCUUGAUGCUAGGACCCUGGAUCAUGACCUGAGCCAAAGGCAGAUGCUUAAUGGACUGAGCCACCCAGGCACCCCAUCAACAACUCAUUUUCUAAAUCAGCCACUGAACCAGGUCAGGGGACAUUAUGUAAUGCUCAAAAGUGCUAUGCUGUUCUUUGCUAAUGAUACAAUUCUAAGAAUUGAGUUGUAUUUCUUGGAGCCUGUUUGAGGGCUUAUAAUAGACUGCGGUGUGUCCAGGGAAGAGUGACUAGGAGAAUGAGGGCAUUUCAAAUGAUAUUAUUCAUUCACUGCUGUUGAGGGCCCACCAUGUGCCAUUCACCAUGGUGCUAGAGAUAGAACAAAAGAAGCAGUAUUUCUGCCUUCACGGAACUUAGUAAUGGUGACAGUGAACAAGAAAACCAAUGUAUGAACAUGUUAAAUUUAACUAGUGUAUUCCUGAAGAAAAUAAAGUGAUGUGCUAGGGAGUGUCUAGUAGGGAUGAGAUGUCGUUAGGCAGACUUAGUCAGGGAAGGUCUUUCUGAGGAGGUGGGAUAUUUUAGUGGAGAUAUGAAUGGUGAGAAGGAUCCAGCCUUGUGGGGAAGAACAUUCCAGUAUAAACUCCAAGGGAGGAAGGACGUUGGUGUGUUCAAGUAACAAAAAGGCCAGUGUGACUUAAGUGCCUGAGCAGAGCAGGGGUUGGGGGGCUGGGUCGCAAAGAGACAGAGAGAUGGGGAGCAUCCAGAUUGUGGUGUUUGGGUUUUGAUCUCAGUGUCUUGAGAGGCCAGCAAAGGGUUUUAAGUAAGAAAGUGAUGUGGCACUUGACGGGAUGAGCACUGGGUGUUAUUCUGUAUGUUGGCAAAUUGAACACCAAUAAAAAAUAAAUUUAUUAAAAAAAAAGAAAGUGAUGUGGCUGGGUUUACAUGAUUCAAAUGGCGUCCUGGCUGCUGUGUGGUACAUGGAAUGUAGGGAUAUGAGAGUGGAACCAGAGAGGCCAGUUCUGGGCUGCUGGCCACCGGGUCAAGGAUGCUGCUGCUUGUAGACACUGGUAGCAGAAGGAAGGUCAGAAAGGGUGAUGAAUCUUUGAUGGAGGUUGGCUACCCUAGGAAGGUGUUGUUAGAGAAGAGGAAUCCAGAUUACUCCUAGGUUUUUGGUAUGCACUGCUGGGUAGAGAUCUUUCUGGAAUGCUGAGGGAGGAUUCAAGUGUUGGUUGAUCCAGGUGAGCUUUCGGGUUCUUUGAAACUUAAGGGCCACAAUUUGAUGCAAGACAAAAUAGGAGCUGGGGGGGCACCGCCCCCCGGGGAUAGGGGGCUGGUGAUCUUGCUCCUGGAGGUUCUAUCCCAUGAAGUGUUACGCACAGACUCCUGCAGGUACCAUGGGCUCUGCAGCUACAGCCUUAGUCUUUGGGAGGCUGUGCUAUCCGCUGCGAUAGAAUAGAAAGCCUCCAUUUUGUAGACUGGAGCAUUCCUUCCACCCUACCCUUCUUUCCUGAGUUGUAAGG